UCAACGAUUUACUUCAGAAGAUUUGAGAAAUGCGUGAAAAUGUACACGGAAUUGGAUGUGAGAAAGGAAAACAUGUAGUGAAACACUUUAAUGUGUGUGAUUCGGCUGUUUUAAGACGUCGGUGGUGUAAGGAAAUGGAUUGUUUGAGCAAGACAGGAAAGAAGAAUACGGAACAUUGCAAUGAGAAGAUGAAGUUGAAUAAAUGAGUACUUGAUAAGUGUUUUUCAAACUUGUUUCGAGAAAAUAGAAUGCAAAAAAACUUAUAAAUAAUAAACAUACUGACUGACAA